CUUAAGAUGGCGACCGGCGCACGGGUGAGUAACACGUAUCCAACCUGCCGAUGACUCGGGGAUAGCCUUUCGAAAGAAAGAUUAAUACCCGAUGGCAUAGUUCUUCCGCAUGGUAGAACUAUUAAAGAAUUUCGGUCAUCGAUGGGGAUGCGUUCCAUUAGGUUGUUGGCGGGGUAACGGCCCACCAAGCCUUCGAUGGAUAGGGGUUCUGAGAGGAAGGUCCCCCACAUUGGAACUGAGACACGGUCCAA
rnacentral:rRNA from 1 species